GCAUAUCAAUAAGCGGAGGAAAAGAAACCAACAGGGAUUGCCUCAGUAACGGCGAGUGAAGCGGCAAGAGCUCAAAUUUGAAAGCUGGCCCCCUCGGGGUCCGCAUUGUAAUUUGCAGAGGAUGCUUCGGGAGUGGCCCCCAUCUAAGUGCCCUGGAACGGGCCGUCAUAGAGGGUGAGAAUCCCGUCUGGGAUGGGGUGCCCACGCCCGUGUGAAGCUCCUUCGACGAGUCGAGUUGUUUGGGAAUGCAGCUCUAAAUGGGUGGUAAAUUUCAUCUAAAGCUAAAUACUGGCCGGAGACCGAUAGCGCACAAGUAGAGUGAUCGAAAGAUGAAAAGCACUUUGAAAAGAGAGUUAAACAGCACGUGAAAUUGUUGAAAGGGAAGCGCUUGCGACCAGACUCGCCUGUAGGGUUCAGCCGGCAUUCGUGCCGGUGUACUUCCCUGCGGGCGGGCCAGCGUCGGUUUGGGCGGCCGGUCAAAGGCCCUUGGAAUGUAACGCCCCCCGGGGCGUCUUAUAGCCAAGGGUGCCAUGCGGCCAGCCCGGACCGAGGAACGCGCUUCGGCUCGGACGCUGGCAUAAUGGUCGUAAGCGACCCGUCUUGAAACACGGACCA
rnacentral:rRNA from 1 species